AGGCAGCAGUAGGGAAUCUUCCACAAUGGACGAAAGUCUGAUGGAGCAACGCCGCGUGAACGAUGAAGGCUUUCGGGUCGUAAAGUUCUGUUGUAAGGGAAGAACAAGUGCCGCAGGCAAUGGCGGCACCUUGACGGUACCUUGCGAGAAAGCCACGGCUAACUACGUGCCAGCAGCCGCGGUAAUACGUAGGUGGCAAGCGUUGUCCGGAAUUAUUGGGCGUAAAGCGCGCGCAGGCGGCCUCUUAAGUCUGAUGUGAAAGCCCCCGGCUCAACCGGGGAGGGCCAUUGGAAACUGGGAGGCUUGAGUAUAGGAGAGAAGAGUGGAAUUCCACGUGUAGCGGUGAAAUGCGUAGAGAUGUGGAGGAACACCAGUCGCGAAGGCGACUCUUUGGCCUAUAACUGACGCUGAGGCGCGAAAGCGUGGGGAGCAAACAGGAUUAGAUACCCGGGUAGUCCACGCCGUAAACGAUGAGUGCUA
rnacentral:rRNA from 1 species